GAUGAACGCUGGCGGCGUGCCUAAUACAUGCAAGUCGAGCGAACAGACGAGGAGCUUGCUCCUCUGACGUUAGCGGCGGACGGGUGAGUAACACGUGGAUAACCUACCUAUAAGACUGGGAUAACUUCGGGAAACCGGAGCUAAUACCGGAUAAUAUAUUGAACCGCAUGGUUCAAUAGUGAAAGACGGUUUUGCUGUCACUUAUAGAUGGAUCCGCGCCGCAUUAGCUAGUUGGUAAGGUAACGGCUUACCAAGGCAACGAUGCGUAGCCGACCUGAGAGGGUGGACGGCCACACUGGAACUGAGACACGGUCCAGACUCCUACGGUAGGCAGCAGUAGGGAAUCUUCCGCAAUGGGCGAAAGCCUGACGGAGCAACGCCGCGUGAGUGAUGAAGGUCUUCGGAUCGUAAAACUCUGUUAUUAGGGAAGAACAAAUGUGUAAGUAACUAUGCACGUCUUGACGGUACCUAAUCAGAAAGCCACGGCUAACUACGUG
rnacentral:rRNA from 1 species